rnacentral:rRNA from 1 species
UGGGGAAUAUUGCACAAUGGGCGCAAGCCUGAUGCAGCCAUGCCGCGUGUAUGAAGAAGGCCUUCGGGUUGUAAAGUACUUUCAGCGGGGAGGAAGGUGUUGAGGUUAAUAACCUCAGCAAUUGACGUUACCCGCAGAAGAAGCACAGGCUAACUCCGUGCCAGCAGCCGCGGUAAUACGGAGGGUGCAAGCGUUAAUCGGAAUUACUGGGCGUAAAGCGCACGCAGGCGGUCUGUCAAGUCGGAUGUGAAAUCCCCGGGCUCAACCUGGGAACUGCAUUCGAAACUGGCAGGCUAGAGUCUUGUAGAGGGGGGUAGAAUUCCAGGUGUAGCGGUGAAAUGCGUAGAGAUCUGGAGGAAUACCGGUGGCGAAGGCGGCCCCCUGGACAAAGACUGACGCUCAGGUGCGAAAGCGUGGGGAGCAAACA